CACGUAGGGCGCAAGCGUUGUCCGGAAUUAUUGGGCGUAAAGAGCUCGUAGGCGGUCUGUUGCGUCCGCUGUGAAAACUCGGGGCUUAACCCCGAGCCUGCAGUGGAUACGGGCAGACUAGAGGUAGGUAGGGGAGAAUGGAAUUCCCGGUGUAGCGGUGAAAUGCGCAGAUAUCGGGAGGAACACCGGUGGCGAAGGCGGUUCUCUGGCCGUUACCUGACGCUGAGGAGCGAAAGCGUGGGGAGCGAACAGG
rnacentral:rRNA from 1 species